GUUUGUGGGGGGUCGCACGUCUGCGUGGCUGGUUCUGGCUGCGCUGGCGGUGGGUGGGGAGGGGGCCAGUCCCUGCAGCUGUCAGGAGAGAGACCUCCACCAGCGGCUGCUUCCAAAACCCUCCCUCCUGCCUUCGCGGGAGCUGGGGCCAGGCGACUUUGGGAGCAAGUCCUGAUCCCUGGGGACCCUCGACGGGGGCGGGGAGAGGAAAAGCAGGUGGGGGCUGCGCCGCAGGCCGCAGUUCUGACUCUCCACACCUCUUAUGGCCCCAGGCCCGCCCUCCACACCCCUAGGAUCUGGGAAAGGGAAGGCCUCACACUCUCCUGCCUUGGAUCUUUUGAACAUAAAGUUGCGCUGCCAUUUCCUGAAGCUGCGCACAAACUUUAAUCAUUGUUGUGUCAGUUAUUCACUUCUGGGCUCGCGAUGUCGCUGACAGCACAGUGUCAACCCCUCGUGAAAACACUUAAAAAUGGCGAAGCUGUCCCCGAGGCUGCAUGCUUCUAGAUGAAGGGCCCUGGCCGCACAGGGGCAGGUGGAGGAAAGUGCAGAGAGGGAUUUGCUGCGGAAUUUCCAGCCCAAUCCCUGCUGUGGGAAAUGGAAGAAUGAGGCUGGUUCCAGUUUGCUAGCUUUAUUUUAUUUUAUUUUGUUUUAUUUUAUCUUAUUUUAUUAUUUUAUUUUUCAAGAUGGAAUCUGGCUCUGUUACCCAGGCUGGAGCACAAUCUGGGCUCACUGCAACCCGGGUUCAAGCAAGUCUCCUGCCUCAGCUUCCCAAGUAGCUGGGAUUACAGGCACAUGCCACCACGCCCAGUUAUUUUUUUGUAUUUUUAGUAGAAACGGGAUUUCACCAUGUUGGCCAGGCUGGUCUCGAACUCUUGACCCGUGAUCCGCCCACCUUGGCCUCCCAAAGUGCUGGGAUUACAGGCGUGAGCCACUGCACCCAGCCCCAGCCUGCUUUCUUAAAUCCAGGAACGGGACUCUAACAAGCCCAACAGGUCUCAGCUCCAAGGCCCCCUUCCCGGCUGCUCACUGGCCCCUGCCGAGAGGGGUCUUUUGGGUACAGAAGCACUGACUUCUCUGUGUUCCUGGGGUUCCUGUCCGAGCCUGUGCUCUGCACACGUGCCCCUUCCCACGUGUCCCUUCCAUGGAUUAAUUUAGGAGUUAAUUCAUGAAGAGGUGCCCAGAGCUUGGCCCGGCCCCUGGUGAGAGGCAUUAUUUUUAUUCUUCCCCCUCCAGAGCAGGGGUCUUGUCUGUCUUCUCCUUGGUGGUGUACUGGAUGAAGUAGGUGCUCAGCAAAUGUAGGAGGAGGUGCACGCUCCACAUCUGCAAAGUCCAUGCACCCACUGUGGCCAGCACUCCAUCACUGCCUUGGGACAGUGCCCGGCCCUCCCUGUCUUUCCUUCCUGAGCUUUGGAACUAAGCAGUGAGAGUGGUUCAUGGUCGCAAUCCCUUCGAUAUCUGUGAAGAUCUUAUCUGAGGAUAUCUUGGUGCUGAUCACCUCUGAGAAGCAUAAAGUUGCUUCUCAGCAUCUUUAUUUUUUCAUCAAACGUUGAUCUUGACUCACUGGAUCCGAUUGAUUCAGGAUAAGCCACACCCUAUUGCCAUUUUCGGCACUCUCCUCUAUUAUCUGGGGCAUAAAAUUAACAUUUAAUUUUCUUCUUUUUCUUUUAAGAGACAAGGUCUUGCUCUGUGACCCAGGCUGGAGUGCAGUGGCACGAUCUCAGCUCACUGUAGCCUCCAACUGCCGGGUUCAAGGGAUCCUUCCACCUCAGCUUCUGGAGGAGCUGGGACCACAGAGGUUUUCGAAAAUUAGUUUGUUGCCAUUUCCGAACUUCCAUCCCAUUGUGAUGUGCAUAACCAGUCGGCUUCCUUAGCCUCAUCCUCCACCCAGAGAAGCUCCGACCAUGCCAGAACCAGGAAGGCCAGCCGGGGAGCAGCCUGGCCCAGGGGUCAGGAGCCGGGGCCUGUGUGGCUGGGGCCUGUGUGGCCAGCACCUGGUGGAUGUGAGCCCCAGGACAGGGAGUUUCUGUGCCCAGGAGAUGGAAGCAGCUCACUUCUCCGCCCCUUUCAAGAAUCUGGGAAGAGCUCCAGGAGUGAGAGGUCUGGGUGCCAGUCCCAGCUCUGCUCCAAACUGGCCAUGUGACCUCAGCGAAGUUAUUUCCCAGCUUUGUUUUCUUCGUUUACAAAAUGACAGGGUGAGAGUCGUGAUUGGUUUCCUCGGUGUCAGAAGUGCAGGACGCUGAACUCUGUUAGAAAGAGUCUCAGGUUGUUUUGUUUGACAGUGACUACCCACUUUGCAGAGACGUGGGCUGCCUGCUCUCUGGGGAAUACUGGAGGUUAUGCCCCAUCUCCUGUCCUGUGGGAGAACCCACCCUCCGAACGAGGCUCUGGUGAGGUUUUCACAAUCAGUAACAAGGAUGAUCUCCAUCGAUGGAAGUCUCCCUGUUUGAGAUGGGGUGCGUGCUCCCCACCCAGGCUCCUGAACAAAACCCACCUCCUUGUCUUGGCACCACUGAGAGUGCACACCGAGGGGGCCCUGGCACCAGAUUGUGGGAACGGUCAUGAGAAAGCAGCUCAGACUUCACACCCAGAGCCCUUGAUCCCUACAUACUCAGUAUUCCUUCACAGCGCUCUUCCUGCUUCCUGGACAUGUGGAACUGCUUCUCCAUUGGGGAGGAUCCAUCCAGAGCCCUUUGGGUGGGUGCUCAGGGCAAUAGCUGCUGCCUCUUCCUUCUGCUCAGCGCUGGGAGGCUUUACACUCUCCCCAUAUGGCACAGAGCAGAACGUGCACCUUUGGCUCUGGAAGGAAUGAACAUCCUGCCCGUUAGUUAGCCCUGGGAGUCACUGACUCAGUUCUUCCCUGGACACCAAUGUCCUACAGAGCACACAGAAAGCCACAGAAGUGUGGUCUGCGGCUUGAGGUGGGUAUUCAGAUGCCAGCCUGCAGCCCACUUACAUUGUUUCUUUUGGACUGACACCUUGCGGGAUGCUCAGAUGCCCACAGCGCAGGGUAAGGGACGGCCUAGAGUCCGAGAUGUGGGCGGGGAGCUGGCCCCUGUCCAUUGCCGCAGCUCUGCAGCAGCAGGACAGCCCUGGGAGGUGGAGAUGGACUCCGUUCAUUUGGAUAAGCAGAGGAAACUUGGCAGAAACGACCAAAUGCAAAAUACGUGUCGCAGCCUGAGAUCAGCCGUCUACUGAAACAAAGGAUGCAGUUCAGUCGGAAACCAUGCUUAGCUGUGUUGCUGUCCUUAGCCAUCAAGGCCCUGAGAACCAAUGAACAAUUCAGCUUGGCCGCUUAGAACAUUUUUUCUAUACUUGAGUUAAAUAGAUAUCCAAGAACCAUUACUCAUUUUUAAUGUGGAGAAGUCAGUAUUCUAUUCUCGUAUUCUAUGUUUUUUAAAGUGGCAAUUUGAAUUAUUUCGUGCGAUAGAAAACCUUAAACACAAAGUAACGUUUCUAACAAAAGGGCUGUCGAUCAAGUGACAAACACGUCCUACUUUAGAUACGAGCACGACUGAGGCAACAGCAUGAAAACGCCUAAAAUGGGCUGCUGGGGAGACAAGAUCUGGCCGCGAAUGGAACUCACAGCAGCUCAUUAACGGGACCGUCCGGCAGGAAGGUGGGUUGGCAGCCUUCUCCCAGGGCUCCCCACGAUCCCUACCCCUGGUGUGGUGUGGCCUUCCUCCUCACAUGUCGUCUGGACCAAGCAGUGCGUUGUUCUCAUCCAUAAAGGGUGAUGGGCCGGGCACGAUGGCUACACCUGUGAUGCCAGCACCGUGGGAGGCUGAGGCAGGAGGAUCUCCUGAGCCCAGGAGUUUGAGACCAGCCUGGGUAGCAUAGGGAGACCCUGUCUCUACAGAAAAAAAGUUAGCCAGGUGUGGUGGCCCACGCCUGUGGUCCCAGGUAUUCAGGAGGCUGAGGUGGGAGGAUCGCUUGAACCCAGGAGGUGGAGACUGCAGUGAGUCGUGAUCGCACCACUGCACUCCAACCUGGGCAACAGACUGAGACCCAGUUUCUAAAAAAAAUAAUAAAAAGGCGGGGUGCAGUGGCUCAUACCUGUAAUCCCAGCACGUUGGGAGGCCAAGGUGGGCGGAUCACUUGAGGUCAGGAGUUCAAGACCAGCCUGGCCCACAUGGUAAAACCCCGUCUCUACUAAAAUACAAAAAUCAAUCAGGCACGGUGGCACACGCCUGUAAUCCCAGUUCUUCAGGAGGCCGAGGCAGGACAACUGGGAGGCAGAGAUUGCAGUGAGCUGAGAUUGUGCCACUGCACUCCAGCCUGGGUGACAGAGCUAGACACCAUCUCGAAAAAAAAUAAAAAUAAAAUAAAAAGAGUGAUGAGACAUCCUGAGAUUGAUUUAUAAAAUGCCGUGAUUCAGGUCUCAGGGCACUCUCGCCCCCACUCACUUUGAUGAAGCCAGUGCUGGGUCGCCUGCCGAGGUGGGGAGGCUCAUGGGCCAGGAACUGAAGACAGCUGUGAGAGCCAGACCGCUCCACCACCCCCAAGACAGCAGGGAACUCACUCCAACAGCCACCCUGCGAUGCUGCCACAGCUGAGCCUGGAGGUGACCGUGACCCUGGCUGACAUCGGACUGCAGCUUUGUAAGAGAGACUGAGCCGGGACCCAGACCUACAAAAGCUGAGAUGAUAAACACUGUUUUAAGCUGCUGUGUGUCGCAGUGACUCGUGUGGCAGUGGAUUUCUAGCAGAGCCGUCAUUUGUGUCUGGCUUCUCUCAGCUCAACACUCUGUAGAGCCACCCACGCUGUUGUGCAUGUCAGCAGUGGAUUUUUUAUUGCUGAGUAAUAUUUCAUUCCAUUGCAUGCUCACACCUCAGUUUGUUUAACUGUCUACCUGUUGAUGAGCUCGGGGACAUAUGCAGUUCUGGGCUAUUAUGAGUAAAGCCGCUUUUAACAUUUAAAUACAAGUCUGUGUAUGGACACAUGUUUUCAUUUCUUUUGAAUAAAUAUGUGUGGGAUUACUGGG